rnacentral:rRNA from 1 species
CCGACCUACGGGGCGCAGCAGUGGGGAAUAUUGCACAAUGGGGGAAACCCUGAUGCAGCGACGCCGCGUGAGUGAAGAAGUAAUUCGUUAUGUAAAGCUCUAUCAGCAGGGAAGAAAAUGACGGUACCUGAGUAAGAAGCCCCGGCUAACUACGUGCCAGCAGCCGCGGUAAUACGUAGGUGGCAAGCGUUAUCCGGAUUUACUGGGUGUAAAGGGAGCGUAGACGGCAGUGCACGUCUGGAGUGAAAGGCGGGGGCUCAACCCCCGGCCUGCUCUUGCAACUGUACGGCUGGAGU